CAGUCGCCGCGGGAAUACGAAGGGUGCAAGCGUUACUCGGAAUUACUGGGCGUAAAGCGUGCGUAGGCGGUUUGUUAAGUCUGCUGUGAAAUCCCCGGGCUCAACCUGGGAAUGGCAGUGGAUACUGGCUCGCUAGAGUGUGUCAGAGGAUGGUGGAAUUCCCGGUGUAGCGGUGAAAUGCGUAGAGAUCGGGAGGAACAUCAGUGGCGAAGGCGGCCAUCUGGGACAACACUGACGCUGAGGCACGAAAGCGUGGGGAGCAAACAGGAUUAGAUACCCCAGUAGUCCCUGUCUCUUAUAC
rnacentral:rRNA from 1 species